UCCCUCUCCAAGAAUUGUUCGAGCAGGCAAAUGUUCCGCCGCAUAUUGACUACAUGUCCCUUGAUGUCGAAGGAGCCGAGUGGUACAUUAUGGAAGCGUUUCCAUGGGAAA
rnacentral:ribozyme from 1 species